rnacentral:misc_RNA from 1 species
CCAAAUAAACCGGCCGAAAGGCCUUGCCCAACGGGGAGGGGAAACCCAACCCGGAACGGUAAACCCUUUGUGAAAACCCCCUUGUUUGCCUCGGCGGCACCCUCUUUCGAGGGGUCAGCCCGCCGACGGCACAUCAGAAACCCUUUUUUUGAAUUGAAGAAUUUAGUCUGAAUCAAUGGUCGAAUGACUAUA